GACUCUCGGCAACGGAUAUCUCGGCUCUCGCAUCGAUGAAGAACGUAGCGAAAUGCGAUACUUGGUGUGAAUUGCAGAAUCCCGUGAACCAUCGAGUCUUUGAACGCAAGUUGCGCCCGAAGCCACUAGGCCGAGGGCACGUCUGCCUGGGUGUCACGCAACGUCGCCAGCGCCCAAGAU
rnacentral:rRNA from 1 species